UGAUGAUGUUGAUGCUGAUGCUGAUGCUGAUGCUGAUGCUGAUGCUGAUGCUUAUGCUGUUGCAUCGUUAUCUUCAUUACAUCAAUAUAUACA
rnacentral:pre_miRNA from 1 species